GACGAACGCUGGCGGCGUGCCUAAUACAUGCCAGUAGAACGCUGAAGGAGGAGCUUGCUUCUCUGGAUGAGUUGCGAACGGGUGAGUAACGCGUAGGUAACCUGCCUGGUAGCGGGGGAUAACUAUUGGAAACGAUAGCUAAUACCGCAUAAUAGCAGUUAUUGCAUGAUAACUGUUUGAAAGGUGCAAUUGCACCACUACCAGAUGGACCUGCGUUGUAUUAGCUAGUUGGUGGGGUAACGGCUCACCAAGGCGACGAUACAUAGCCGACCUGGGAGGGUGAUCGGCCACACUGGGACUGAGACACGGCCCAGACUCCUACGGGAGGCAGCAGUAGGGAAUCUUCGGCAAUGGACGGAAGUCUGACCGAGCAACGCCGCGUGAGUGAAGAAGGUUUUCGGAUCGUAAAGCUCUGUUGUAAGAGAAGAACGAGUGUGAGAGUGGAAAGUUCACACUGUGACGGUAUCUUACCAGAAAGGGACGGCUAACUACGUG
rnacentral:rRNA from 1 species